AUUGAACGCUGGCGGCAUGCCUUACACAUGCAAGUCGAACGGCAGCACGGGUGCUUGCACCUGGUGGCGAGUGGCGAACGGGUGAGUAAUACAUCGGAACAUGUCCUGUAGUGGGGGAUAGCCCGGCGAAAGCCGGAUUAAUACCGCAUACGAUCUACGGAUGAAAGCGGGGGACCUUCGGGCCUCGCGCUAUAGGGUUGGCCGAUAGCUGAUUAGCUAGUUGGUGGGGUAAAGGCCUACCAAGGCGACGAUCAGUAGCUGGUCUGAGAGGACGACCAGCCACACUGGGACUGAGACACGGCCCAGACUCCUACGGGAGGCAGCAGUGGGGAAUUUUGGACAAUGGGCGAAAGCCUGAUCCAGCAAUGCCGCGUGUGUGAAGAAGGCCUUCGGGUUGUAUAGCACUUUUGUCCGGAAAGAAAUCCUUGGCUCUAAUACAGUCGGGGGAUGACGGUACCGGAAGAAUAAGCACCGGCUAACUACGUG
rnacentral:rRNA from 1 species